rnacentral:lncRNA from 1 species
UGUGGGCCUAUUUUUACCGAAAUGUUUCUAAGGUUGCACGGGUUGCCCAAGUUGACUGUGAAACUACUAUAAGGUCGGUAAGUGCUACUUAAACCCCUAAAUGUGAUAAAUUGACUGAAUGAUAUCUGUAUUGAGCAUGUUAAUAUCUGAACUGAAUAUAUGUAUUGAAAUUGCAUAAUAGCAUAUCAUCCAUUGUAUGUUGCAUUGCAUUGGGUUGGGGGUUGUUAUUCGGAGGAAGUGUACUGGAAGGCUUUAAGCCUAAUUUACUGGCAGCUCAGCUGCAAACUAAUGUUUUGUGCCGCAUUCAGUACUACUUGGAGUGUAAGGAUGGGUGGGUUGAUUAUAUCCCCACAUGGAGUGUAAGGUUGGACGAAGAUGGUAUGUAGAGGCUGGAUGGGUAGGAUUUUGCUACUGCAUAAAUGUUACUGCUACUGAUACUGUGAUGGGUUAAGGCCCUACUGCAUUUUUGACACUGUACUGAGAUGGGCUAAGGCUCAAACUAUCACUGAUACUGAAAAGGGCUUAGGCCCAAGACUGUUCAACUGUGCAGUGUGAAUACUAAUUGUUUUUUUGUUUCUGCGGGAUUACACACUGAGUUUAUGUAAACUCACCCUUUUUGUUUAAUGUGCUUAGGUAAUCCCUAGACUUAGAAGGAUCUGUGCGACGGAGGACUCAGCGGUGACCAUAGAAACUUUUUGGACUUCAUGGUUUUCAAUUUAUGUGUUAUGAUUUAAUUAUUAUUGAUUAUUUGGGUUGUAAUUUAAGGACCCUCUGGGACUUUGGUUUUAAAUUUUGG